rnacentral:rRNA from 1 species
GUACACGCUGUGACUAGCAUAUCAAUAAGCGGAGGAAAAGAAACUAACAAGGAUUCCCUUAGUAACGGCGAGUGAAGCGGGAAGAGCUCAAAUUUGAAAUCUUCAAGGUUUUACCUUGACGAAUUGUAGUUUAAAGAAGUGUUUUCUGUUGAAGUUUUGGUAAAAGUUCUUUGGAAUAGGACAUCAUAGAGGGUGAGAAUCCCGUAUUUGGACCAUUAUUUCCAGCUUUGUGAUACACUUUCAAAGAGUCGGAUUGUUUGGGAAUGCAGUCCAAAAUGGGUGGUAAAUUUCAUCUAAAGCUAAAUAUUGGCGAGAGACCGAUAGCGGACAAGUACCGUGAGGGAAAGAUGAAAAGAACUUUGAAAAGAGAGUUAAACAGUACGUGAAAUUGUCAAAAGGGAAGCGUUUGACACCAGUGUUGUUUUCUCGAAAAUCAAUUAAAAAAAGUUGGAUUUUGUGUUGUAUUGACCUUAACAGCUUGCUUCACUCUUUUCCUGCUUUUUUUAAUGCACUUUUCGUUUAACAAGUCAACAUCAGUUUCUUUUGUUGUAAAAGGGUCAUUGGAAGGUGGCUUUCUCUUCGGAGAAAGUGUUUAUAGCCUUUGAUCUCUGCAAUCGGAGAGACUGAGGUCUGCAGCGUAGAUCCUUCGGGGUUAGAUACAUUUGUGCUAAGCUACAGCUUUUCAUAGACAACUUGUUGACUAUGUUUAGUCUUGUGACUUACCCGCUUAUGCUAUUUUACCUACGCUUAGGAUGUUGACACACGCGCGUGCUCG